GACGAACGCUGGCGGCGUGCUUAACACAUGCAAGUCGAACGGAAAGGCCCUGCUUUUGUGGGGUGCUCGAGUGGCGAACGGGUGAGUAACACGUGAGUAACCUGCCCUUGACUUUGGGAUAACUUCAGGAAACUGGGGCUAAUACCGGAUAGGAGCUCCUGCUGCAUGGUGGGGGUUGGAAAGUUUCGGCGGUUGUGGAUGGACUCGCGGCUUAUCAGCUUGUUGGUGGGGUAGUGGCUUACCAAGGCUUUGACGGGUAGCCGGCCUGAGAGGGUGACCGGCCACAUUGGGACUGAGAUACGGCCCAGACUCCUACGGGAGGCAGCAGUGGGGAAUAUUGCACAAUGGGCGGAAGCCUGAUGCAGCAACGCCGCGUGCGGGAUGACGGCCUUCGGGUUGUAAACCGCUUUCGCCUGUGGCGAAGCGUGAGUGACGGUAAUGGGUAAAGAAGCACCGGCUAACUACGUG
rnacentral:rRNA from 1 species